AAGUCGUACCAGUGAACCUGCGGGAAGGAUCAUUAACACGUAUCAACGUUAAAACAACCCCCGUGAACUUUGCUUGCUCCUGUGAUAUUUUAGUUGAGCGAGUGACCUG
rnacentral:misc_RNA from 1 species